CACGUAGGGGCCAAGCGUUGUCCGGAUUUAUUGGGCGUAAAGAGCUCGUAGGCGGCUCGGUAAGUCGGGUGUGAAACCUCCAGGCUCAACCUGGAGACGCCACCCGAUACUGCUGUGGCUAGAGUCCGGUAGGGGAGCGUGGAAUUCCUGGUGUAGCGGUGAAAUGCGCAGAUAUCAGGAGGAACGCCAGCGGCGAAGGCGGCGCUCUGGGCCGGAACUGACGCUGAGGAGCGAAAGCGUGGGUAGCAAACAGG
rnacentral:rRNA from 1 species